CUGUGGAUAUGUCGAAUUCUGGUGCUAUUUCAAGGGCAAAUGCUUGAAUAUCAGCCCUGCGCACAACCAAAGCCUUUGCUCUCUUGUCAGCAAUCCAUUCACAGAUGACAUCUUCCAGCUCAAGAUAUAAUGGCGGUCGACCUGAUCCACACUUGCGCUUCUUAGCAUUUCCCUCGUCCACCUUUUGACUGAGGUUACCAUACUCUGCUCGCCAUUUUCGGACCAUUCGGAG